UGGGCCUAAGCAUCCGUAGCCGGUUCUGCAAGUCCUCCGUUAAAUCCAGCCGCUCAACGGAUGGGCCGCGGAGGAUACUAUAGGACUGGGAGGCGGGAGAGGCAAGCGGUACUCAGUGGGUAGGGGUAAAAUCCUUUGAUCCAUUGAAGACCACCAGUGGCGAAGGCGGCUUGCCAGAACGCGCUCGACGGUGAGGGAUGAAAGCUGGGGGAGCAAACCGGAUUAGAUACCCGGCUAGUCCCAGCUGUAAACGAUGCAGACUCGGUGAUGGGCUAGCCUUGUGCCAGCCCAGUGCCGCAGGGAAGCCGUUAAGUCUGCCGCCUGGGAAGUACGUACGCAAGUAUGAAACUUAAAGGAAUUGGCGGGGGAGCACAAG
rnacentral:rRNA from 2 species